rnacentral:tRNA from 1 species
UCCUCUGUAGUUCAGUCGGUAGAACGGCGGACUGUUAAUCCGUAUGUCACGGUUCGAGUCCAGUCAGAGGAGCCA